CAGUGUAACUCAGUUUCUGAAGGUACACUACUUAGACCCAUAAUUUCGAUAUUGUUAUUUGUACUUUAAUUUAAUUGUGUGUUGAAUUAGUUUUAAUCAAUUUCGUAAUUAAUUUUGGAGUUAAAUGAAGCUCCUGCUUAUUUUCAGGCAAUAUAUUGUUUGUUUUGCUGGAAAACAAGUUAUAAUCUAAUCGAAACAGCCGUUUUGAAGCAUUACACCCAUUUUUGUUCUUGUGAUUGCCAAAAAGUAUCACUUCAUUAUGAGCAUUAGCUUAUGCUUCCUUGUCCUAGCAAAUGGAACAGGUUUAGAUACUUGUUUCUGCCUUUUAUUGGUUGUGAUUCUUUUUUGUGUUAUUGUUGAGCUUUUAUGGUUUCUUAGAAUCGCAUUCUUGAGAACUCUCUUCUGGUUGGUAUUAAUCAGCGUUUGCUGAGUCAUUGCUUUGGUCCUCUUCUUCUUUGGUAUGCAUUUUUUAUGUUUUUUUUCUCAAAUGUACUUUCAAGGGCCUUCUACGCGAUUUUAGCUUGUAACGUGUUUUUCUUAGAUUUAUCUUUGUCUUUUUUAUGUGGUUACUCUGUUAUUGUGCUUUCAUCAAUGGCUUAGCUUUGUUGCAAAUCUAUCUGAGGUUUAGAGCAUGUGCAGCUCAUUGCUCAUGAUGCUACUGAGUGAAAAAGGAAAAAAUUUCAAUCUUUUUUCUUUAGAACAAUAUUCAGUUUCUACAAAAUCACUUGUGUGAGGCUUUAUGGAUAUUAUUUUUCUCUGCCCUUGAUUUGAACCUCAAUAUUCUCUCUUUUUGCGAGAGCUUCUGUAGAGGUUUCAUCAUCCUAGAGAUGGGAAUUGGCUAUAUUCACUAAUCAAUUGAACACCUGUAACUCUGGCUUGCUAUGACAUCCAUUUAUUUUCGUUUGCAGGGCUUAUGACGGACGAGUUGAGGAGCUUUUUAGAACUUAAUCUCCCAAAAGUGAAGGAAGGUAAGAAGCCAAAGUUUAGUUUAGGAGUUGCUGAGCCUAAGUUGGGUUCGCAUGUCUUUGAAGUGACAAAAAUACCUUGCCAAAGUAAUGAAUUUGUUCUUGAGCUUCUCCGCGGUGUACGACUACAUUUUGAAAGGUUCAUCAAGGAUCUAAAGGUUUGCAUUUCUUCACAUGCAUUUUUCACUUCAAAAUGUUCCUGGAUUGUGGCAUUUUGUUUUUUGCUCGGGAUAUAAAUAUUUAUCUCCUACAUAAUUUCUUCUUUGUUUUCACCUUCUGUUUUUUCCCCCAACGUUGUGAUCUAUAGCCUGGUGACUUGGAGAAAGCCCAACUUGGUCUGGGGCACAGUUACAGCAGGGCAAAAGUGAAGUUCAAUGUCAACCGAGUUGACAAUAUGGUUAUUCAAGCAAUUUUCCUCCUUGAUACUCUCGAUAAGGAUAUCAAUUCAUUCUCAAUGAGAGUCAGGGAAUGGUACUCUUGGCAUUUCCCUGAAUUGGUGAAGAUUGUUAAUGACAAUUAUCUCUAUGCAAAACUUGCCAAGUUCAUAGAGGACAAGGCAAAGUUGUCUGAAGACAAAAUCCCUGAAUUAACAGACAUACUUGGAGAUGAAGAUAGGGCAAAGGAGGUUGUAGAAGCUGCCAAAGCAUCAAUGGGACAGGAUUUAUCCCCUAUUGACUUGAUUAAUGUCCAGCAGUUUGCUCAGAGGGUAAUGGAUCUCUCUGAGUAUAGGAAAAAGCUCUAUGAAUAUCUGGUUACUAAAAUGAAUGACAUAGCGCCUAAUUUGGCCUCCUUGAUUGGUGAAGUUGUUGGGGCUCGUUUGAUUUCCCACGCUGGUAGUCUUACAAAUUUGGCUAAGUGCCCUUCUUCUACCCUUCAGAUCCUUGGUGCAGAGAAGGCAUUGUUCAGGGCUUUGAAAACCCGAGGAAACACACCAAAAUAUGGUUUGAUCUUUCAUUCUUCUUUUAUUGGUCGAGCAUCUGCUCGCAACAAGGGACGCAUGGCACGUUAUCUAGCAAACAAAUGCUCAAUUGCAUCUCGCAUUGAUUGUUUUGCAGAAAGGGGCACUACUAUUUUUGGAGAGAAACUAAGAGAACAAGUUGAGGAGCGCUUGGAUUUCUAUGACAAGGGGGUUGCACCCCGUAAAAACAUUGAUGUGAUGAAAGUUGCAAUUGAAAGUGUUCAGAAUAAAGAUGUCGACAUGGAAACAGAAGAGGCUGUACCUUCAGAAAAGAAAAGCAAGAAAAAUAAAUCAAAAUCUGAGGCUGCAAAAGUUGUUGAACCUAUGGCUGAUGAUAAACCAACAGUUGCUACAAAUGGAGAUGCUUCAGAGGAUGCUAAAUCAGAGAAGAAAAAGAAGAAGGAGAAGAGAAAAUUGGAGCAGAAGCAGGCCGUGGAGAAUUCAAAUGGUGUAAAUGGGGCUGAGGCUGAACAGGAUAGAGCUGCCAAGAAGAAGAAAAAGAGUAAGAGUAGAAAUGAAGAUGGAGAGGAUGUGCAGCCUGCUAGUGAUAUCAAAAAGAAAAAGAAGAAGAAAUCAAAAAGUGAGGAUGAUGAAUGAACGAAUGAAUUUUGAAAGAUGUAUCCCAGUUGCUGAACUAACGUUGUCAGCAGAAUUUUGAUUGUGGAAGUGGCCUUCUGUUCUCUGUUAUUACUAUGAAUCAUGAAAAGAUUAGGUGUCUUGAGAACUUCUGUGAAAUAUUCAACGGUUGUACUAGUUUAUUUUUUUGCUUUGAUUAUUGGAAGUAUCAUCACAAUGUUUAUAUCCGUUAUUGGCAAAUUUUGAUUAUUGUAGCAGGAUGAGAUUAUCCAUGGGCAGUAACCAGUAGCUGGCCUGUGGUUUAGUUAUUUUUCUAUGGCUAUCCGGAUCAUUGAUCAAGCUGCCAUGAAUAUUAUAUUGGUAGUUUCUCUUAGUGGCAUGAAAA
rnacentral:misc_RNA from 1 species